CCUACGGGAGGCAGCAGUGGGGAAUCUUGCGCAAUGGGCGAAAGCCUGACGCAGCAACGCCGCGUGCGGGAAGAAGGCUUUCGGGCUGUAAACCGCUUUCAGCAGGAACGAAAAUGACGGUACCUGCAGAAGAAGGAGCGGCCAACUAUGUGCCAGCAGCCGCGGUGAUACAUAGGCUUCAAGCGUUGUCCGGAUUUAUUGGGCGUAAAGAGUUCGUAGGCGGUCGAGUAAGUCGGGUGUGAAAAUUCUGGGCUCAACCCAGAGACGCCACCCGAUACUGCUUAACUUGAGUUCGAUAGGGGAGUGGGGAAUUCCUAGUGUAGCGGUGAAAUGCGCAGAUAUUAGGAGGAACACCGGUGGCGAAGGCGCCACUCUGGAUCGAUACUGACGCUGAGGAACGAAAGCAUGGGUAGCAAACAGGAUUAGAUACCCUGGUAGUCCAUGCCGUAAACGGUGGGCACUAGGUGUGGGAUUCUAUUAACGAAUUCCGCGCCGUCGCUAACGCAUUAAGUGCCCCGCCUGGGGAGUACGGUCGCAAGACUAAAACUCAAAGAUAGUACGCGNGNGAGAGCGACGACGACGACGAGGAGGAGGAG
rnacentral:rRNA from 1 species